UACAGAUCGGACGACGACUACGAUUAUUUGUUCAAGGUGGUGUUGAUCGGCGAUUCCGGCGUCGGGAAAUCUAAUCUUCUAUCCAGAUUUACACGUAACGAGUUCAGUUUGGAGUCAAAGUCAACGAUCGGCGUUGAAUUCGCUACUCGUAGCAUUCGUGUUGAUGAUAAGGUUGUCAAGGCUCAGAUUUGGGAUACUGCCGGUCAGGAACGAUAUCGCGCAAUCACGAGUGCCUACUAUCGAGGAGCUGUUGGAGCAUUGCUUGUCUAUGAUGUCACCCGUCAUGUAACUUUUGAGAAUGUAGAGAGAUGGUUAAAAGAGCUCCGAGAUCACACUGACUCUAGCAUUGUCAUAAUGCUGGUGGGUAACAAGGCAGAUUUGCGUCAUCUGCGUGCUGUUUCUACUGAGGAUGCCCAGGCAUUUGCAGAGAAGGAAAGUACAUUUUUCAUGGAAACAUCCGCUUUGGAGUCCAUGAACGUUGAAAGUGCCUUCACAGAAGUGCUCACUCAAAUACACCGCGUUGUUAGCAGGAAAGCUCUUGAAGUAGGAGAUGACCCGGCAGCAGUUCCCAAGGGGCAGACGAUAAAUGUUGGAGGCAAGGAUGAUGUUUCUGAAGUAAAGAAAGCUGGGUGCUGUUCUGCUUAGAACAAAGAGUAAUCUACACCGCGGAAGAGAUUCUUUUUGUUUUGAGCUGAAUUUCACAUGACAUUUGUACGUCAACCUCUAACCACAUGAAUUGCUUAGCACUAAUAGCUUUAUUCACUGGAUAACUAGACAUUGUUGAAUUGAGUGCACCCCCAAGAUUGAAUAGUAUCCAAAUUAGCUUUAUUCAUAUCAUUCUUUAUCCUUGUUUCUCUAUUUUGCUUCCAUUGGUCAAUGAUUUAUUGUAUUAGCUGCUGCUUAUGGACCUCCAAAAUAGGGUAUAUUUGUUUCAAAAAGAUUCUG
rnacentral:misc_RNA from 1 species